rnacentral:rRNA from 1 species
AAUCAACGCUGGCGGCGUGCCUCAGACAUGCAAGUCGAACGAUUAAAGCUCUCUUCGGAGAGUGUAUAGAGUGGCGCACGGGUGAGUAACACGUAAGUAAUCUACCUUUGAGUGGGGAAUAACCCGGGGAACCCGAGCUAAUACCGCAUAAUGCAGCGGCAUCGCAAGAUGACAGUUGUUAAAGGAGCAAUCCGCUUAAAGAGGAGCUUGCGGCAGAUUAGCUAGUUGGUAAGGUAAUGGCUUACCAAGGCUACGAUCUGUAUCCGGUCUAAGAGGACGGUCGGACACACUGACACUGAAUAAC